rnacentral:rRNA from 1 species
GACGAACCGUGCGAACGUUGUUCGGAUUCACUGGGCUUAAAGGGCGCGUAGGCGGGUUCCCAAGUCGGGGGUGAAAUCCCACGGCCCAACCGUGGAAGAGCUUCCGAUACUGGGAGUCUGGAGGGAGGUAGGGGCGUGUGGAACUUCCGGUGGAGCGGUGAAAUGCGUAGAUAUCGGAAGGAACGCCGGUGGCGAAAGCGACGCGCUGGACCUCUUCUGACGCUGAGGCGCGAAAGCCAGGGGAGCGAACGGG